AUGUAGGAAAACAUGGUUAAUUUGCUUAGUUCCUUGGGCUCAUUAAAUUGGCUCAACGGCUGGAUUUAAAAUAACUGAGCUGAUAUAUCAGCCACAAAUAAUUUUUUUGCCAGAAACAGCAGCAGUGUACUCUGUAACUCCAAUGCUAGAUUUCCCUGUGACAUACUGCCCUCUUGUGCAUCAGUAGCUUUCUUAUAGAGAUAAUCUAAGAGCAAGACACUCAUUCAAUAAACGAAAGUUCUCAGACUCUCUCUUGAUCUCCUUUGACUUUUUUAAAAUUUUUCCAGAAUGAAUGCAACUUCUUAGGUCGUGAUGAAGAGGCAACACAGACUGGGCUUGUCCAGCCUGGAGAAGUGAAGACCAAAAGGAGAUCCUACUGCCAUGAGAGGAAGUGGGGAGCAGACUGGACAGAGUUGAGGGAGGAGGACCAGAAAGAACUGAACCGAGUUUUCUGUGACCUGGGAAGCCAGAACAUGAAGAUCCGAAGGUUUUAGUCAGAAUUAGCUGCUCCUGAAAUGUUUCUUUCCAGCUGGCUGUUACUGAGGUGGUGCAUGGUAUGUGAUGCUGCAUAUAAAAUAUUGACAGUGCAUACAAAAAACCAUUCACACUAAAUAUUUUCUAGGUGGUAAUCACAAGAAGUCCGAGCACAAGACACACAGAAUUGGUGCUUUGGUACUCGUACCUGGAACCCAGCUAAACUGGUCUUGAGGCCACAGCCCUUGCUCUUUCUUUUUCCAGCCUUCCAUUCAGUACUGAGCAGCUCUCAUUCAAAGUCCUCUUUCUGAGAUAUCUCCCAGUCUGUCACACAGUUGAUACUCUGUGCCUCUAAGAAGACAGAUCUUUGCUACAAGCCUGACAAUAAAAUAAUAUGACAUUUUCCUGCA
rnacentral:lncRNA from 1 species